GCCUUCCAAGCUCAGGUUGGUAGAGCGCGCGGUUGAAGCCCGCGAGGAUGUCGGUUCGACCCCGACGGAAGGCA
rnacentral:tRNA from 1 species